rnacentral:rRNA from 1 species
GAUGAACGCUGGCGGCGUGCCUAAUACAUGCAAGUCGAACGCACUGCGAAAGGUGCUUGCACCUUUCAAGUGAGUGGCGAACGGGUGAGUAACACGUGGACAACCUGCCUCAAGGCUGGGGAUAACAUUUGGAAACAGAUGCUAAUACCGAAUAAAACUCAGUGUCGCAUGACACAAAGUUAAAAGGCGCUUUGGCGUCACCUAGAGAUGGAUCCGCGGUGCAUUAGUUAGUUGGUGGGGUAAAGGCCUACCAAGACAAUGAUGCAUAGCCGAGUUGAGAGACUGAUCGGCCACAUUGGGACUGAGACACGGCCCAAACUCCUACGGGAGGCUGCAGUAGGGAAUCUUCCACAAUGGGCGAAAGCCUGAUGGAGCAACGCCGCGUGUGUGAUGAAGGCUUUCGGGUCGUAAAGCACUGUUGUAUGGGAAGAACAGUUAGAAUAGGGAAUGAUUUUAGUUUGACGGUACCAUACCAGAAAGGGACGGCUAAAUACGUGCCAGCCGCCGCAGUAA